AAAAUGUUGCCAUAAAUAGUGUUAUUCAAUCAGCUUCAUUGAUAGACAUUUCAUCAGGAAAUAAGAGUUUAAGAUAUGGAACAACACUUGGAAGAAUGGGCAGAUCAGCCAAGUUAACACUCAUCAGAUCAAAAGCAAUGCAUGCUUUGUGCAUGUAUGUUCCAUCAAAUACUGGGAUUUUAGGGUAUCUUUGGCUGAAGUGAGUGAGGAUGACGCGGUAUGCUCCAGCAGCG
rnacentral:misc_RNA from 1 species